UAGGGAAUCUUCGGCAAUGGGGGCAACCCUGACCGAGCAACGCCGCGUGAGUGAAGAAGGUUUUCGGAUCGUAAAGCUCUGUUGUAAGUCAAGAACGAGUGUGAGAGUGGAAAGUUCACACUGUGACGGUAGCUUACCAGAAAGGGACGGCUAACUACGUGCCAGCAGCCGCGGUAAUACGUAGGUCCCGAGCGUUGUCCGGAUUUAUUGGGCGUAAAGCGAGCGCAGGCGGUUUGAUAAGUCUGAAGUUAAAGGCUGUGGCUCAACCAUAGUUCGCUUUGGAAACUGUCAAACUUGAGUGCAGAAGGGGAGAGUGGAAUUCCAUGUGUAGCGGUGAAAUGCGUAGAUAUAUGGAGGAACACCGGUGGCGAAAGCGGCUCUCUGGUCUGUAACUGACGCUGAGGCUCGAAAGCGUGGGGAGCGAACAGGAUUAGAUACCCUGGUAGUCCACGCCGUAAACGAUGAGUACUAGGUGUUGGAUCCUUUCCGGGAUUCAGUGCCGCAGCUAACGCAUUAAGCACUCCGCCUGGGGAGUACGACCGCAAGGUUG
rnacentral:rRNA from 1 species